AGCUGUCGGUCUUCUCAUGAUCCCCAGAGUCAUCAGAAUCAGCAGUCCCUUCUGAACUACUGCCUGCUGUUCUCUGCAAACACCAUGUAAACAGCUAUAUCACCAUGCACAGGUAAGAAACCAGCAUGCAUGACUUUGAUAACUGGAGAGACUGGGAACAUGAGGAGGAAGAUGGCAUUGCAGAAUAUGAGCAGUAUGUGGAUAUGCUUAAUGAAAUGAAGUACAAAAUAGAGGCUCCUGCAAUGGAUGAAAUGGAAAUCUUGUAAGCAUCUGAAACAUAUCAUAUGGUUAUACAGCCUUUAGUUAUUUAUUUUCUGUAUCGAGGUCAUCAUUUGAAACCUGUUCUUUUUUUAUAGAGUGACUGACGGAGCACCACUGCACAUGAUGAGCCUGUACAGUUUUCUAAAAUGUUAUAUGAGCAGUAAAAGCCAAUUCACAUUGCCCCAAUAAAUUUGCCAUUGUGAGCUAGACUAGACACACUAGUGUGUGUAAUAUGAAUGACUCAUGUAAGUGUAUGUAAUAUGUAACUGUCUUUUAUAACCUUUGAUUUUCUUUUCUUCCUUGCAAAACAAAUGUGACCCUGGAGCACAAAAGCAGUCUUAAGUCGCUGGGGGUAUAUUUGUAGCAAUAGCCAAAAAUACGUCAAAAAUUAUAGAUUUUU